GGCUCACCAAGGUGACGAUCAGUAGCCGACCUGAGAGGGUGAUCGGCCACAUUGGAACUGAGACACGGUCCAAACUUCUACGGAAGGCAGCAGUAAGGAAUCUUGCACAAUGGGGGAAACCCUGAUGCAGCAACGCCGCGUGAACGAUGAAGGCCUUCGGGUUGUAAAGUUCUGAUCUUAGGGAAGAAGAAAGUGACGGUACCUAAGGAGAAAGCCCCGGCUAACUACGUGCCAGCAGCCGCGGUAAUACGUAGGGGGCAAGCGUUAUCCGGAAUUAUUGGGCGUAAAGCGUGCGUAGGUGGUUACCUAAGCGCAAGGUUUAAUCUUGAGGCUCAACCUCAUUCUGCCUUGCGAACUGGGCUACUUGAGUGCAGGAGGGGAAAGCGGAAUUCCUAGUGUAGCGGUGAAAUGCGUAGAUAUUAGGAAGAACACCGGUGGCGAAGGCGGCUUUCUGGACUGUAACUGACACUGAGGCACGAAAGCGUGGGGAGCAAACAGGAUUAGAUACCCUGGUAGUCCACGCCGUAAACGAUGAGCACUAGUUGUUGGGUCCGAUAGGAUUCAGUGACUGCAGUUUAACGCAAUAAGUGCUCCGCCUGUGGGAGUACGUUCUGCAAGAAUAAAACUCAAAGGAAUUGACGGGGACCCGCACAAGCAGCGGAGCAUGUGGUUUAAUUCGAAGCAACGCGUAAAAACCCUUACCAGGGCUUGACAUCCCUCUGAGCAGGAGCUUAACCGCUCGCCUCCUUCGGGCAGAGRYGACAGGUGGUGCAUGGUUGUCGUCAGCUCGUGUCGUGAGAUGUUGGGUUAAGUCCCGCAACGAGCGCAACCCUUGUCGUCAGUUACUAACAUUCAGUUGAGGACUCUGGCGAGACUGCCGAGGUCAACUCGGAGGAAGGUGGGGAUGACGUCAAAUCAUCAUGCCCCUUAUGUUCUGGGCUACACACGUGCUACAAUGGUCGGUACAAUGAGAAGCAAUACCGCGAGGUGGAGCAAAUCACCAAAACCGAUCCCAGUUCGGGAAUUUUGCAGGCUGCAAACUCGCCUGCAUGAAGUCGGAGUUGCUAGUAAUCGCGAAUCAGCAUGUCGCGGUGAAUGCGUUCCCGGGUCUUUUGGGUACACACCCGCCCGUCACACCAUGGAAGUUGGGGGUGCCCCAAAAGUUGGCAAAUUAAUCAUGUUACUGAAGGCAACCUGAUCGG
rnacentral:rRNA from 1 species